GUGCCAGCAGCCGCGGUNAUACGGAGGAUACGAGCGUUAUCCGGAAUUAUUGGGUUUAAAGGGUGCGUAGGUGGCGUAUUAAGUCAGUGGUGAAAAGCUGCAGCUCAACUGUAGUCUUGCCGUUGAAACUNAUAUGCUAGAGGAGACCGAAGGUAUGCGGAAUGUGUGGUGUAGCGGUGAAAUGCAUAGAUAUCACACAGAACGCCGAUUGCGAAGGCAGCGUACUAGGCUCCGUCUGACACUGAAGCACNAAAGCGUGGGGAUCAAACAGGAUUAGAUACCCUGGUAGUCC
rnacentral:rRNA from 1 species